rnacentral:rRNA from 1 species
AGGUUACUGCUAUCGAGGUUCGACUAAGCCAUGCGAGUUGAAUGUAGCAAUACAUGGCGUACUGCUCAGUAACACGUGGACAACCUACCCUCCGGACGGGUAUAAACCCGGGAAACUGGGUAUAAUCCCCGAUAGAUCUCGGUCGCUGGAAAGCCCCGAGAUCGAAAGCUCCGGCGCCAGAGGAUGGGUCUGCGGCCUAUCAGGUAGUAGUGGGUGUAGCGUACCUACUAGCCUACGACGGGUACGGGUUGUGAGAGCAAGAGCCCGGAGAUGGAUUCUGAGACACGAAUCCAGGCCCUACGGGGUGCAGCAGGCGCGAAAACUUUACAGUGCCGGCAACGGCGAUAAGGGGACCUCGAGUGCCAGGUUACAAAUCUGGCUGUCGUGAUGCCUAAAAAGCAUUGCAUAGCAAGGGCCGGGCAAGACCGGUGCCAGCCGCCGCGGUAACACCGGCGGCUCGAGUGGUAACCGUUAUUAUUGGGUCUAAAGGGUCUGUAGCCGGCCAGAUAAGUCUCUUGAGAAAUCCAGCAGCUCAACUGUUGGGCUUUCAGGAGAUACUGUCUGGCUCGAGGCCGGGAGAGGUGAGAGGUACUUCAGGGGUAGGGGUGAAAUCUUGUAAUCCUUGAAGGACCACCAGUGGCGAAGGCGUCUCACCAGAACGGACCUGACGGCAAGGGACGAAAGCUAGGGGCACGAACCGGAUUAGAUACCCGGGUAGUCCUAGCCGUAAACGAUACUCGCUAGGUGUCGGCCACGGUGCGACCGUUGUCGGUGCCGUAGGGAAGCCGUGAAGCGAGCCACCUGGGAAGUACGGCCGCAAGGCUGAAACUUAAAGGAAUUGGCGGGGG